UACGUAGGGGGCACGCGUUGUCCGGAAUCAUUGGGCGUAAAGAGCGUGUAGGCGGCCCGGUAAGUCCGCUGUGAAAGUCCAGGGCUCAACCCUGGGAUGCCGGUGGAUACUGUCGGGCUCGAGUCCGGAAGAGGAGUGUGGAAUUCCUGGUGUAGCGGUGAAAUGCGCAGAUAUCAGGAGGAACACCAAUGGCGAAGGCAGCACUCUGGGACGUGACUGACGCUGAGACGCGAAAGCGUGGGGAGCAAACAGG
rnacentral:rRNA from 1 species